rnacentral:rRNA from 1 species
CGCACGGUGGAUGCCUUGGCACUAGAAGCCGAUGAAGGACGUUACUAACGACGAUAUGCUUUGGGUAGCUGUAAGUAAGCGUUGAUCCAGAGAUUUCCGAAUGGGGGAACCCAGCAUGAGUUAUGUCAUGUUAUCGACAUGUGAAUUCAUAGCAUGUCAGAAGGCAGACCCGGAGAACUGAAACAUCUUAGUACCCGGAGGAAGAGAAAGAAAAAUCGAUUCCCUGAGUAGCGGCGAGCGAAACGGGAAGAGCCCAAACCAACAAGCUUGCUUGUUGGGGUUGUAGGACACUCUAUACGGAGUUACAAAAGAACAUGUUAGACGAAUCAUCUGGAAAGAUGAAUCAAAGAAGGUAAUAAUCCUGUAGUCGAAAACAUAUUCUCUCUUGAGUGGAUCCUGAGUACGACGGAGCACGUGAAAUUCCGUCGGAAUCUGGGAGGACCAUCUCCUAAGGCUAAAUACUCUCUAGUGACCGAUAGUGAACCAGUACCGUGAGGGAAAGGUGAAAAGUACCCCGGAAGGGGAGUGAAAUAGAACCUGAAACCGUGUGCCUACAACAAGUUCGAGCCCGUUAAUGGGUGAGAGCGUGCCUUUUGUAGAAUGAACCGGCGAGUUACGUUAUGAUGCGAGGUUAAGUUGAAGAGACGGAGCCGUAGGGAAACCGAGUCUGAAUAGGGCGUCUUAGUAUCAUGAUGUAGACCCGAAACCAUGUGACCUACCCAUGAGCAGGUUGAAGGUGCGGUAAAACGCACUGGAGGACCGAACCAGGGCACGUUAAAAAGUGCUUGGAUGACUUGUGGGUAGCGGAGAAAUUCCAAACGAACUUGGAGAUAGCUGGUUCUCUCCGAAAUAGCUUUAGGGCUAGCGUCGACAUAAAGAUUCUUGGAGGUAGAGCACUGUUUGGGUGAGGGGUCCAUCCCGGAUUACCAAUCUCAGAUAAACUCCGAAUGCCAAUGAAUUAUGGUCGGCAGUCAGACUGCGAGUGCUAAGAUCCGUAGUCGAAAGGGAAACAGCCCAGACCACCAGCUAAGGUCCCAAAAUAAUUGUUAAGUGGAAAAGGAUGUGGGGUUGCACAGACAACUAGGAUGUUAGCUUAGAAGCAGCUAUUCAUUCAAAGAGUGCGUAAUAGCUCACUAGUCGAGUGACCCUGCGCCGAAAAUGUACCGGGGCUAAAACAAUUUACCGAAGCUGUGGAUACCUUUAUAGGUAUGGUAGGAGAGCGUUCUAUGUGUGGAGAAGGUGUACCGUGAGGAGCGCUGGAACGCAUAGAAGUGAGAAUGCCGGUAUGAGUAGCGAAAGAUGGGUGAGAAUCCCAUCCACCGUAAGACUAAGGUUUCCAGGGGAAGGCUCGUCCGCCCUGGGUUAGUCGGGACCUAAGGAGAGACCGAAAGGUGUAUCCGAUGGACAACAGGUUGAUAUUCCUGUACUAGAGUAUGAAGUGAUGGAGGGACGCAGUAGGCUAACUCGUGCGUACGAAUGGAUGUACGUCUAAGCAGUGAGGCGUGGUAUGAGUCAAAUGCUUAUACCUGUAACGUUGAGCUGUGAUGGGGAGCGAAGUUUAGUAGCGAGUGAGUGAUGUCACACUGCCAAGAAAAGCUUCUAGCGUUGUAUCAUACUCUACCCGUACCGCAAACCGACACAGGUAGUCGAGGCGAGUAGCCUCAGGUGAGCGAGAGAACUCUCGUUAAGGAACUCGGCAAAAUGACCCCGUAACUUCGGGAGAAGGGGUGCUGACUUUGGUCAGCCGCAGUGAAUAGGCCCAAGCAACUGUUUAUCAAAAACACAGCUCUCUGCUAAAUCGUAAGAUGAUGUAUAGGGGGUGACGCCUGCCCGGUGCUGGAAGGUUAAGAGGA